rnacentral:rRNA from 1 species
GUACCUACGGGGCGCAGCAGUGAGGAAUAUUGGUCAAUGGCCGGAAGGCUGAACCAGCUAAGCCGCGUGAAGGACGAAGGUGCCAAGCAUUGUAAACUUCUUUUGUCAAGGGACAAAAUCAGGCUCGAGAGCCUGACCGAGGGUACUUGAAGAAAAAGCAUCGGCUAACUCCGUGCCAGCAGCCGCGGUAAUACGGAGGAUGCGAGCGUUAUCCGGAUUUAUUGGGUUUAAAGGGUGCGUAGGCGGUCAGGUAAGUUAGAGGUGAAAGCUCGAUGCUCAACAUCGAAACUGCCUCUGAUACUGUU